rnacentral:rRNA from 1 species
UGGCGGCGUGCUUAACACAUGCAAGUCGAACGGAAAGGCCCUGCUUUUGUGGGGUGCUCGAGUGGCGAACGGGUGAGUAACACGUGAGUAACCUGCCCUUGACUUUGGGAUAACUUCAGGAAACUGGGGCUAAUACCGGAUAGGAGCUCCUGCUGCAUGGUGGGGGUUGGAAAGUUUCGGCGGUUGGGGAUGGACUCGCGGCUUAUCAGCUUGUUGGUGGGGUAGUGGCUUACCAAGGCUUUGACGGGUAGCCGGCCUGAGAGGGUGACCGGCCACAUUGGGACUGAGAUACGGCCCAGACUCCUACGGGAGGCAGCAGUGGGGAAUAUUGCACAAUGGGCGGAAGCCUGAUGCAGCAACGCCGCGUGCGGGAUGACGGCCUUCGGGUUGUAAACCGCUUUCGCCUGUGACGAAGCGUGAGUGACGGUAAUGGGUAAAGAAGCACCGGCUA